UUUUUUUUUUUUUUUUUUUUUUUUUUUCUUUUUCCUUUGCCUGCCUCUCAUUUGCAUUGAGUUGGCCCUUUUACUGCUCAGAAAGAAAGGAUGGCUUCAGGCAAGACCUGAUUUUGUCCCCCUUUUAGCUUUUUGAGUCGGUGCAAUCUCUACUAAGGUGGCUUUAAAAAUCAAUCAUUCGCUCGGUCCUGUGAAACUCUUACCUGGCAGGUUCCCAGUCUGUCUUUGGCCAAGUUGAUGAUUAGAGGAGGAAAAAUGAUCACAAAAUCAGCGUCUGAAAAGUAUUCUCAGUGGCUUUGAGACAAAGAGCAAAGUUGCUGAGCGGGCAUAUCAAGUGAUAACUUGGAAAAGCCCGCAGAGAGGUGUGCUUUUGGCCUCUGAUAUUGGUCUCUGUGAAAGGCAGUCUCUGGCUCUGCCUGGGUUGUUAUUACAUUUAAAAGAUGAUAAAAUAUAGUUGGAAAGGCGUAUGGGGAAAAGCAUAGGUAUAUCUCAGGUAUAGAGCGGGUUUCACAGGCCGGCAAAGCUACAAAAAGGGGGAAAAGCGUUGAUGCUACAAUUACCUUUUUUGUGAUUAAGUCUCUUUAAGAGACAAAGUUGGGAACAUAACAUGAUUGGUUAGGAUGUUUAAAUAUCUUGUUUCAACCUUUUUUUUUUUUUUUAAACCUGUUUAUCACUUUCAUUGGAGCUAUUCUGGGGCUAAAAAUAAGGGUUGCCUGCUUAGUAAGUUGCCAAUAAUUAUGCUUCGAGCAUGACGAUGCUAGCUACCUGGGGUGAAGGAGUUACUAAAAAUACAAUUUACUAUGUUUUCCAGAGCAGGAAAUAUGACUAAUUUUAGAGGUGGCCUUUUGGCAGCUCUGUUUUUAGCAAGUGUUACUGAAACAAACAGGUGCUAAAUCCUGUUUUUUUUUUUUUUUUUUUCAGUGCUAGAAAUUUAGGGGGAAUAGAAGAACAAGAAAUGCUUAGGGAACUGGCCCGUUCCCUUAAUCCUCGGCAGGGAUUUCUUGGCAAGCAGAGGCAUUUGGCAAAAGCACCUGCUCAGUAUGUCGCGCGUGACAAGGCAGUGCCUAUAAUUUCUGAGAUUGCACGCUGCAGUUCGCAGGCACAGUCUUUUUGAACUUCCUGCCCUGCCUCAUCUUUUUGAAGUCCUUGUGAAUGAUGGAAAUUGGCAGUUAGAGCUCGCUUCUCAGGGUUCAUUGAUACGCAGGCCCCGGGGACUUCAAAGGUGCUUUGAGUUGGCACAACAGGGCUGAGUGGUACCCACGAAGAGGAGUACAACCCUAAAUUUUCUCUGUGGGUGUGGAGUCACCGGCACAGGCGGGGCUCAACUACAGCGCACGGCACGCCGCCCGCUGUUCCCAAGGGCACCAUGGCCAUCAUCGUCCCAGAAGGUGUGGGGAGUGGCAGCUGUGUCUGCCCGGAGGGAGAGGCACAGGCUGGGUGUCCUCUGCAGGAAGGUGGCUCGGGUGCAAAGUAUCAUUUACCUGGGGACCUACAUCCCCGUCUUGAUUAUUGAAGGUAACGGAGCCACCUGCUCUCUUGGCUAAUUGAAACCUGUAGAUAACCCCUGAGCCUUAUUUUUAGCAAACUAGUGAAACCUCUUCCUCCCUUCUGCCUGGGCUCUGGUCACUUUGAAGUGCUGACCUGAACUGAUCACGCCACCUGAUGGGAUGCUGCUGGUUCAUAGGAUGACCAGCGGGAAAGGAGUGAACCCCGGGGGCCCUCAAUAGUUGUGGAGGAGGCAGAUACUUCUGCAAAGGUAUGGAGAGCGCUCACCUCUCCUUCCUCCUAAAUACCAGCUCAGUGGUGUAGCGCUUUGUGGUGCGUUCAGGGACUUUGAUGCAUUUUCUCAUUAGAUGCUAGAAGCUGCCCUGGGCAGGUGGUAUCCUUCCCUGUGUUGAAUGCGUGCAGGUAUGCUCUGGGUAGAUUUUUUUGCCUCUGACCCUCUCUCCUCUGUUGCUAGGGCUGCCCUCACAAAUGACCACAAACUGGGUGGCUUAAAAGAACAGAAUGCAUAUGCUCUUAGACUUCUGGAAGCCAGAAGUCCAAAAUCAAGGUAUUGGCAGAGACUCUGAAAGCUCUAGGGGAGGGUCCUUCCAGCCUCUUCCAGCCUAUGGUGCAUCCCUCGGUGUGUAGCUGGCACACCCCAAUCUCUGCCUUGUCUCCAUGUGGCCUCCUUCCCGCCAUGCAUCGUCUGUGUCUCCAAGUCUCCCUCUCCUUAUAAGGUCACCUGUCAUUGGACAUAGGGUCAACCCUAAUCUAAGAGGAACUCAUCUUGCUGAGAUCUCUAAGGACUCUAUUUACCAAGAGGCCACGUUCCCAGGGACCCAGGGGUUGGGACGUGAACAUAGCAUCUUUGCAGGACACAGUCCAACCCUCAACACCUUUGUAGAGUGUUAGAACUGUGUUGUAGGUGAUUUUCUGGAAAGCAGACCUUGAGAAGGGGGAAAUGUGGUCUUAGGGCAUAGACUGAGGAACAAAACCAGUGAGGGGAAGAGAGGCGAAGGGAAGGGCAGGCAGCAGGGGGCAGAGGGAGAAGUUGGGCCCCCGAUGCAGGACCAGCUGAAGUUACCCCCACCCCCCCACCCCCUAGUGCCCGCUAUGCUUCAGAGCUGAGCUGUCCAAACUGGGCUUUAUAUCUUUUUUCUUUAAUUUAUUUUUACAAUCACACCUGCAGCAUAUGGAAGUUCCCACAGCCAUGGCGACACCGGGAUCUGAGUGGCAUCUUUGACCUACGCUGCAGCUUGCAGCAACGCCAGAUCCUAACCCAAUGAAUGAGGCCAGGGAUCAAACUUGCAUCCUCAUGGAGACAGUGUCAGGUCCUUAACCCACUGAGCUACAAUGGGAACUCCCUGGGCUUUAUAUCUUUAUUUUUUGCCCCCCUCCCCCCGGACUUACGGAGUUCCUAGGCCAGGGAUUGGAUCUGAGCCGCAUUUGUGACCCAUGUUGCUGCCGCAGCAAUGCUGGAUAGUUUAACCUACCAUACUGGGCAGGAUUGAGCCUGUGCCCUGGUGCUGCAGGGAUGCUGCCAGUCCUGUUGCAGCAUAGCAGGAACUCCAGUUUUAUAUCUUUGUAUCCACUGAGGGGUCCAGGUGGGGCAAGGGGACUGGGCUUUUGUACCUUUGGACCCGGCAUUGGAUGGGGGUGGCUCUGGGCAGGGGGCAUGGCCUCAGACCCAUGCUGGGGGUAGUUCCUGGGGCGAGCUCACAGCUGAGCAGCUGGGGAAGAAGUUCUUAACCCAGAAAGGGAAGAUAGGCAGUGCGGCUGGGCAUCCACUGCUUUCUGGGGGAGACAGGGCCAGAGUCCAGGGUCUUAGUCUGAGUCCAGGCUGGCUCCCUAACCUAAGUGGGCAGCAUCCCCGCCCCACCUUGCAGACCUAGUUUGCUGCUUCUCCACCUGAAAUGUGGAGAUAUUGGAAGUACCGUAUUUACUUAGCUAAUCCUUGAUGAGCGAGUCAGUGGAUGUUACAUAAAAAUUAAGCACAAUUAAGGAGUAGGGGAGUUCCUUGGUGGCCUAGAGGUUGGGGAUCUGACAUUGUCACUGCUGUGGCCUGGGUUUAAUUCCUGGCCCUGGCCCAGGAACUUUUGCAUGCCUAUGCAAAACAAACAAACAAACAAAAAAGGGCAUUUAGAUGGUAUACAAUUUUUUGUUAUUCCCAAAUUGUGCUGAAGUAAAUACCUACACCCGUUUGUCAUCUUGUAAAUGUUUCAGGCUUAUCUGAGGGAUAAGUUCCUAGCCUUAUGCAAAAGGGUAUCACUAACUGUUAGGGAUAUUGCCAAAUUGCCUGCCCUAGAGGUUGUCCCAGGUUUUACUUGCAUCACCCUGGGGUGGAGAUCUCUUGCCACAUCUUUGUCAAUAUAAGGCGUUCUCAGACUUUUUAUCUUUGCCAAUCUAGUGGAUUAAAGAUGGUAUUUUGUUUUAUGUGUAGUUUCUCAUAUUUAUAAGUGGAGUUGAGCAUAUUUUCAUAUGUCUGACAACAAUUUAUACUUCAUUUUUGUUACUUGUUCAUGUCCAUCCACCAUCUUCCCUUGGGUUUCUGGUCUUUUUCUUAUUGAUUUGCAGGCACUUUCUAUAUAUUAAGGCCAUCAGUCCUCUUUCAGUGAUAGGUUUUGAAGCCUUUUCCUUCUUGUCUGCUCCCCGUUUUAUCCUUUGUCUUUGUUUCUUGGUGGUUCUUGCCAUGGCAGAGGUUAUUUCCCUGGAUUCCACUACCUAGAAAGGAGCCAUAGAUGAGCUUUGCAGGUCCAUGAACCCUAUAAAUUCUAUGUGUAAAAUUAUGUUUCUGGGGCGAGGAUCCAUGACUUCAUCACAGUAUAAAGGGACUUAUUUACUCCCCAGAGGUGAAGAGCCACUGCUCUGUUGCCCAUUCCUGUCAGCAACGCUGUCUGGUUAGAGGUUUGUGUUGUUGGGAUGAGGAUUGGGUCACCUUGGUAUGUGAGCACCUGUGCUGAUCGGAUUUAGGUUGCAGAGUACACUCAGGCCAGGAUGUAGUUCUACGGCCACCCUGGGUCCUGCCUAGGUCACAGGGAAGGGGUAUAAUAGAGAGGAGACAUCUUUGGAAGACCUUGACUCUUUCUAGGAGUCAACUCUGAGUUGCGUCCCAUUGCUUCUUCAUGGGAAAGUUGAUAGGUUUAUGGGUGGUUGAGAAGAGAGAGAGAGAGGGAACAACUAGGGAAGUGAAAACCUUUUAAGGAGCAAUAGCCGCCACUUAACUUGGACACACAAUGCAUGGAGUCAGGUGUGAGCACACGUGUAAAAAUAUGCCUGGGACCCUCUGGGACUGUUUUGUCUACAAGAGAAGCCCUGGGGGGUGGGGAUGGGGCGAUACUGAUGGAGCAAACAAGUGGGCCUCUUUGGAAGCAUGGAGGUCAACAUGGGCUCACUCUGAUGACCUUUUUUUUUGUUGUUGUUGUUGUUGUUCUUUUUAUGGCCGAACCCCCAACAUAUGGAAGUUCCCAGAUUAGGGGUUGAAUUAGAGCUGCAGCUGCCAGCCUAUGGCAACCACAACAAUGCUAGAUCCUUAACCUCAUGCUCGAGGCCAGGGACUGAACGCACAUCCUCACGGAGACUAUGUGGGGUUCUUAACCCACUGAGCCACAACGGGAACUCCCCGAUGACCCUAUCUAUUGCUCCUGUCCCCUGUGACUUUCCGCCCCUGACCCUGCUCUGUCUUUCCUCAGAGCACGUCUCACCACCUGUAUUAGUUUGCUGCUGUAACAAGGUACCACCCCCUGGGUGGCUUAAACAGCAGAGGCUAUUGCCACGUGGUUCUGGAGACCAGAGGUCAACAUCAAGGUGUGGACAGGGUAGGUUCCUUCGAAGGGCUGUAGGGAAGGGUCUGUCUGCUCCAGGCCCUGCUCCAUGGUUUGUGGGUGUCUGUCUUCCUCCCGUGCCUGCUCACAUUGUUCCCUCUGUAUGUAUCUGUCUCUCUCUCUCUCUUUUUUUUUUUGUCUUUUCUAUGGCCGCACUCAUGGCAUAUGGAGGUUCCCAGGCUAGGGGUCUAAUCGGAGCUGUAGCCACUGGCCUACACCAGAGCCACAGCAACACGGGAUCCCAGCCGAGUCUGCAACCUAUACCACAGCUCAUAGCAACGCCGGAUCCUUAACCCACUGAGCAAGGCCAGGGAUCGAACCCACAACCUCAUGGUUCCUAGUCGGAUUCAUUAACCACUGCGCCACGAUGGGAACUCCUGUAUGCAUCUGUCUCUGUGUCUGCAUUUCUCCUUUCUAUGAGGACACCAGUCAUUUUGGAUUAGGGUCCAUCCCUAAUCCACUUUAACUCGAUGCUUCUGUCAAGAUCAUUAUUGCCAAGUAAGGUUACAUUUGAGGUCCUGGGGUUUAGGACGUACUAUGGUCUGAAUGUUUUGUCCCCUCAAAGGUCAUAUGUAGGGACCUAAUUCCCAACAUGAUGGUGUUAGGAGCUGAGGUCUUUGGGAGGUGAUUAGGCACGAGAGCAGUGUCCUUAUGAAUGGGAUUCGUGGUUUUAAAAAAGAAACCCCAGGUGUUCCCGUCAUGGCUCAGUGGUUACCAAACCUGGCUAGCAUUCAUGAGGAUGUGGGUUUGAUCCCUGGCCUUGCUCAGUGGGUUAAGGAUCCAGCGUCCAGCAUUGCCAUGAGCUGAGGUGUAGGUCGCAGACAAGGCUCAGAUCCUGCUUGGGUUUGGACCUAAAAAGAGACAAAAAGACCAAAAAAAAAAAAAAAAAAAAAAAAAGAGAGAGAGAGAGAGACCCCAGAAAGCUCCUUUGCUCCUUCCACUGUGCGAGAACACAGCUGUCUGUGAACCAGGGAGAGAACUCUCACCAGACACCAAAUCUGCUUUGACUUUGGACUUCCCAGCUUCCGGAACCGUGAGAGAGAAAUUUCUGUCAUUUAUAAGCCACCUAGCCUAUGCUAUGUGUUAUAGUAACCCAAAUGGACUGAGAUAGGACUUAAACACAUGAAUUUUGGGGAACUCCCUCCGUUCAACCCAUAAUAUCUCUUGACCCCAUGCUAUAUGUUUACAUGUUUAUAUGUUUGUUAUUUGUCUCCCCAGUGGACGGUAAGCCCCAUGGGGAAGGGAUCACUGCUCCAUCCUCAGUGGCUGGAAUAGUACCUAGUGUAGAGCAGGUGCUGAGUAAAUAUUUUUUGAAUGGAUCCAAGAAGACUUUGGUCUCCCCAGGACACGAGGACAGCCUUCUGGAUGACCGUGUCCCAGAUGGCUGGGGGAUGGUUUGAAAGCCCUGUCUUGGGAAUACCUGUUGUGGAUCAGCAGUAAUGAACCUGACUCUUAUCCAUGAGGAGGUGGGUUCGAUCCCUGGCCUCACUCAGUGGGUUAAACAUCCAGUGUUGCUGUGAGCUGUGGUGUAGGUUGCAGACAGGGCUUAGAUCCCAAGCUGCUGUGGCUGUGGCAUAGGCUAGCAGCUGCAGCUCCAAUUGGACCCCUAGCCUGGGAACUUCCAGAUGCCUCAGGUGCAGUCCUAAAAAAAAAGGAAAAAAAAAA
rnacentral:lncRNA from 1 species